rnacentral:rRNA from 1 species
UACGUAGGGCGCAAGCGUUAUCCGGAAUUAUUGGGCGUAAAGAGCUCGUAGGCGGUGUGUCACGUCGGCCGUGAAAACCUGGGGCUUAACUCUGGGCGUGCGGUCGAUACGGGCAUCACUAGAGUUCGGCAGGGGAGACUGGAAUUCCUGGUGUAGCGGUGAAAUGCGCAGAUAUCAGGAGGAACACCGGUGGCGAAGGCGGGUCUCUGGGCCGAUACUGACGCUGAGGAGCGAAAGCAUGGGUAGCGAACAGG